rnacentral:ncRNA from 1 species
GAGCCUUAGCAAGUUCUCGAAAAUGCAUUUAUACAAUAGGAACGGCCCGCCAUGGAAGGCGGGCCGAGUGAGCAACGCCACAUGGAUGUGGCGUGUGAACGGUUCCGGACGUAUAUCAUAGCCCCAGGCAUUUUCGUAAGAACUGCUUG